GAUUUUUGGGAUCUGCACCUGAUCAGAAUCACUCACUCCACCAAGAAACUCCUUGUGCUGCUUGGAUGCCAAGUGCAGCCUCAGGGAGCCUCUGGAGUCACUGUGACUCACCAGAGUCUGGCCUUGCUGGGAGGCUUUGCUUUGCUUUGCUUUGCUUUGCUUUGCUUUGCUUUGCUUUAAAUGCAAGGAUUGUACUCUGACGUGGCAGCACUUUGAGCAAAGCUGUUACCAAGGAAGCAGAGAGAGAAUCAAACCCUGUGUGUCAUCAAACCUGGGUGACUCAGGGCUCCCUCAGAGGCUCAGGGCUGCUCCUCCUCCUGCCUGGGGUCACUCUCUGGGACCUGGUGGCUUUUCAGGUCCUUCCUUCUGCUGCCCAGCGAGGUUGGAGCUUCCUGCAGGUCCCAGGGGACCCCGUGCUCCAGGUGAGGUCAUGGCAUUGUUAAAGUUGGAAAAGAUCUUAAACAUCAUCAGAUCCAACCAUCAAUCCACAGCCACCACGUCCUCAAGUGUCACCUCCAGGUGUUUUUUGACCAUUCCAGGUGCUGGGAUUCAAGACAAGGGCUCCAAAAGGUUCAGCCCUUCUCCUGGGUUUGUUCUUCAGUGAUCUCUUUCAGAAGUUACUCUCCACUUGAUUUAAAGGAUUGCAAACAUUCCUCCUGCCCAGGUCCAUCCCAGCUGCCCCUGGGGAGCCUCAAUUC
rnacentral:lncRNA from 12 species